GGCGUGCAACGUUUCAAAUACCCAGAAGUGACUGUACGGCUUCCACAGACAGUUCAUUAUUAGCUGUCAUGACCGUUCAAGUCCUGACCUUUCAAGUCUCCAAUCAUAAAUAUGUUAUGAUUAGAGACUGGGGGGCAAUGUUCGGGAGCGUUUUACCGACCCUCUUUUGGGCCGAAUAUUCAACACCAGAAGGGCUGGAGAGACCGAUGGGCCGAAGCCCAUGAAAGUGUUGGAGGUGCUCGGGUCGGCAUUUGAGCCCUCCGGGACCAUAGCUGAACCCGGUCUGGUGAUGUUCGGGGUCGGGUCUUUGAGUUCUUUGGGCCGAAGCCCAGAUUAGAUUAUAGGACCGUUUGGGCCUGCACAGUGGGCUCUCCUGCGUGCAGAGUCCGGGUACCUAUUCGUAUGCAUAUAAGGCAACUCCAAAGGUGGUAAUGAGAUUGGACUCUACUUGCACCUUUUAAGGAGAUUG
rnacentral:lncRNA from 1 species